UCAAAAACAUGGCCUAUUGAAAAUAAUUUUAGGUUUGGCCUGCCCCCUGAGUAGUUAAAUGGCCGCGGUAUUUUGACCGUGCUAAGGUAGCAUAAUCAUUAGUUUCUUAAUUAGAAGCUAGAAUGAAUGGUUGGAUGAAAAAAAUUCUGUCUCUAUUUAAAAUUUAUGGAAUUUUAUUUUUUAGUAAAAAAGCUAAAAUAUUUUUAAAAGACGAGAAGACCCUAUAGAGUUUAAUAUUUUUAUUUUAUAAAAUUUUUUAGAAUAUAAAUUUUUAUAAAAUAUAAGUAUUUAAUUGGGGUGAUUGAAAAAUUAGAGUAACUUUUUCUUUUCUAAACACUAAUUGGUGAUUAAUUGAUCCAUUAUUUAUGAUUAUAAGAUUAAAUUACCUUAGGGAUAACAGCGUAAUAUUUUCAAAGAGUUCUAAUCGAAGAAAAAGAUUGCGACCUCGAUGUUGGAUUAAAAUUAACUUUAGGUGUAGAAGCUUAAAAGUUGGGUCUGUUCGACCUUUAAAAUUUUACAUGAUCUGA
rnacentral:rRNA from 1 species